rnacentral:rRNA from 1 species
CCCUUAGACGUUCUGGGCCGCACGCGCGCUACACUGACGAAGGCAACGAGCUUUCCUUUACCGAAAGGUACGGGUAAUCUUUUGAAACUUCGUCGUGCUGGGGAUAGAUCCUUGCAAUUAUUGAUCUUAAACGAGGAAUUCCUAGUAAGCGCAAGUCAUCAACUUGCGUUGAUUACGUCCCUGCCCUUUGUACACACUGCCCGUCGCUACUACCGAUUGAAUGGUUUAGUGAGGCCUUCGGAUCCGCGACUCGUUUUGUGGAGAAGUUGGACAAACUCAGUCAUUUAGAGGAAGUAAAAGUCGUAACA